rnacentral:rRNA from 1 species
AUGGCUACUAGCCAUUGGAACUCUUUUGAUUUUUCUAUAGAUCUUGCUCUGGCGGCGUGUUCGGGUAUCACACUGAGUGGCCUAAGGAAGCAUUUCUUCCAGCGCAAUUCUAGGGCGUUCAAAAGGGGCACGUGGACGCGUCGCAAGACACAGUCGGAGUGCGGCAUGCACGCGAUGUGGCACAAGACCGGCAAUACCUUGCCGGUGAUGGUCAACGGCCGGCGGACGGGCAGCAAAAAAGGUUCUGGUGUUGCACACCAACAAGAACUUUGA